rnacentral:rRNA from 1 species
UAAUACGGAGGGUGCAAGCGUUAAUCGGAAUUACUGGGCGUAAAGAGUACGUAGGCGGCUUUUCAAGUCGGGUGUGAAAUCCCUGAGCUUAACUCAGGAACUGCAUUCGAUACUGGAUCGCUAGAGUAUAUUAGAGGAUAGUGGAAUUUCAAGUGUAGCGGUGAAAUGCGUAGAUAUUUGAAGGAACACCAAUGGCGAAGGCAGCUAUCUGGAAUAAUACUGACGCUGAGGUACGAAAGCGUGGGGAGCAAACAGGAUUAGAUACCCUGGUAGUCCACGCCGUAAACGAUGAGAACUAGACGUUAGAUAUUUAUAUCUAGUGUCGCAGCUAACGCAUUAAGUUCUCCGCCUGGGGAGUACGGCCGCAAGGUUG